rnacentral:rRNA from 1 species
UGCGUAGGCGGGCUAAUAAGUCAGUGGUGAAAUCUUCCGGCUCAACCGGGAACCUGCCAUUGAUACUGUUAGUCUUGAGUUCGGCUGAGGUAGGCGGAAUGUGUAAUGUAGCGGUGAAAUGCUUAGAUAUUACACAGAACACCAAUUGCGUAGGCAGCUUACUAUGCCGACACUGACGCUGAGGCACGAAAGCGUGGGGAGCGAACAGGAUUAGAUACCCUGGUAGUCC